AAAAAGGAAAUUGGGAUCGGUCGGGAAGAGUCCAGCUCAUCCCAACUAUCUGGAUCAGCGGGACGGCAUCCGGUCCAAUUCACCGAAACGCACAUUCUGAAAUUUGCACCGAACAGGACAGAAUGUCACUGAAAAACAACAAGAACUUGUUCAUAUGUAGUGAGAGCUCGGACCAUGGAGACUUAAAACCUGUAAACCGCAUCAACAGAUUGCUCGCUAGCAACCGAAAGGCUAACAACUCAAGAAGCCGAACUUUCAAAAUGGAAACACUGACUGAACCUGUCUUUCUUUCUCUGCCUGGUUUAUCCAUUCUGGAGACAACUUACCAAACGGAGAAGCGUUGUUUUGUUUUUUUUCUCCUCUGCCACCGUCGAAUCAACUCCAAACUGGGUUACAUUCAGCCAACUUUGCACGGUCGUCCCAGAGCUUCGGUGGUUGCAGUGUUGUUGACAGGACCGACCAGACAGCGCUGAGAAGCCAACAAGCGGUCUGACUGGUUGGCUACCGAGAUCCG